rnacentral:lncRNA from 1 species
AUGCUUAUAAAAGCAAAACAUUGGAGUCAUCUAAAGAUCCAAUGAUCAGGCGAUGCUUUAGUAAAAUAUGAUAUAUAUACUUAAUAGAAUAGCAAAGCAGAAAAAAAAAAGGGAGUGAAGGACUCACAGCUUUGAGGAGAACUGACCAGAAGAGCUCCCCAAACAGGAGCAUCAAACUGGACUUCGUGUGAGGCAGAAAUACACCUUGAUUGUAUGAAGCCACUGAGAUUUCAGGGUUUGUUUGUUAAUGCAUCAUAAUGUGACCGACUCUGACUAAUAGACUAAAAACUUACUGAAAGUAAAGAAAUCCACAGGAGAUAAAUUCAUAAAUACAUUUUGAAAGAGAGAAGGCCCAGGGGGGCAAUUGAUGACAAACAGAGGAGAGACAGCUACAGUUCCAGUAUGUGCAGGUUAAGUCUACAGUGGAGGUGGGAAACAGCCUUUGCAGAAGAAACCUACAAAUACCAUCAAGGAGGAGGACAGGUGUGAGGCACAGAACUGAAAACAAGGAAUUAGUUGAAUACCUGGCAAUAGAAAAGUUGGACCAGUUACCCUGUUCACAGAGAGGUAGGUAAGCCAGUGUUUACCUUCCAGGAACAAAAACAAAAUCUUCUCUAAGCAACGGAAAGAAAGGGAGCAGGAUGGAGGGAGGGGAGACAUGAGGAGGAAUGAUCCAGUAGGAUUUCCUAAAAGGGAGAAUAGAGAAAAUGAAGAGUGAGAGAUUAUUAGGGAAAUAAUAAUCAAAUAUUCUCAGACCUGGAGAAAGUGAGUCUUUUAUUUGUAUGGGCUCAUGGAGUACGCUGCAUAUAAAGGGAACCACUUGGACACAGAAUUGAAAUUUCAAAACAGCAAAGAACAAAAAAAGAUGAAUUCAAAACCAAUGGUGUAUCCAUACUACCUGAAAUUAUUAAGUGGCCACUGACAUAAUUGAAAACUGAAGCAGUUCAAAGUGACAACCUCUGAGAAGGACUGUUGUUGGACGGGAUGGGUGAGGGGCUUGAUUUUCAUUAGAAAUUCCUUUGUCUGCUUUGUGUUUCUUGCUUUUGUGCAUUCCCUGG